rnacentral:rRNA from 1 species
UACGUAGGUGGCAAGCGUUGUCCGGAUUUACUGGGCGUAAAGAGCGCGCAGGCGGUCGAGUAAGUCGAAUGUGAAAGCCCCCGGCUUAACUGGGGAGGGUCAUUCGAUACUGUUCGACUUGAAGGCAGGAGAGGGCAGCAGAAUUCCCGGUGUAGUGGUGAAAUGCGUAGAUAUCGGGAGGAACACCAAUUGCGAAGGCAGCUCGCUGGGACGUCACUGACGCUGAGACGCGAAAGCGUGGGGAGCAAACAGG